rnacentral:sRNA from 1 species
CGGGACUGUGCCGCUGCAGCUGGGCCACCGCAGGGCUGCUCCAAGUGAGAGCCGUGAGGGUGGCCAAGUCCAGUUUGGACCUCUGACCCUUGGGCAGCACCUCCCGACAGCCGGCUCGGGACCCAACUCUGCGAGCCAGGUGAAAAUGAGUUCUUCAGUAAGAAGAAAAGGCAAGCCAGGCAAAGGAGGUGGAAAAGGGUCUUCUAGAGGAGGAAGAGGAGGCAGGAGUCACGCCAGUAAAUCUCAUGGGAGUGGUGGUGGUGGCGGUGGCGGUGGUGGUGGUGGAGGUGGCGGCAACAGAAAGGCCUCCAGUAGAAUAUGGGAUGAUGGAGAUGACUUUUGUAUCUUCAGUGAAUCAAGGCGCCCUUCCAGACCUAGCAACAGUAACAUAAGCAAAGGAGAGUCACGCCCAAAAUGGAAACCCAAAGCCAAAGUACCCCUUCAGACUCUACAUAUGACUUCUGAGAAUCAAGAGAAAGUGAAAGCUCUUCUCCGAGACCUGCAAGAACAAGAUGCUGAUGCCGGAUCUGAAAGAGGCAUUUCUGGGGAGGAGGAAGAUGAUGAGCCUGAUUGCUGUAAUGAUGAGCGGUACUGGCCAGCUGGACAGGAACCUUCCCUCGUUCCCGACUUGGAUCCUUUGGAAUAUGCUGGCUUAGCCUCAGUGGAGCCUUAUGUUCCAGAAUUUACAGUCUCCCCAUUUGCAGUGCAAAAACUUUCCAGGUAUGGUUUCAAUACUGAACGCUGUCAAGCGGUCCUGAGGAUGUGUGAUGGAGAUGUGGGAGCAUCACUAGAGCAUCUCCUUACCCAGUGUUUUUCAGAGACAUUUGGAGAGAGGAUGAAGAUCUCUGAGGCAGUCAACCAGAUAAGCUUGGAUGAGUGUAUGGAACAGCGACAGGAAGAGGCAUUUGCUCUCAAGUCCAUCUGUGGAGAAAAAUUUAUAGAAAGAAUUCAGAACAGAGUCUGGACCAUUGGGUUAGAACUGGAGUAUCUGACAAGUAGAUUCCGCAAAUCCAAGCCAAAAGAAAGUACCAAAAAUGUACAAGAGAAUUCACUUGAAAUCUGUAAAUUUUACCUCAAAGGAAAUUGUAAAUUUGGAUCAAAAUGCAGAUUCAAACAUGAAGUGCCCCCAAAUCAAAUUGUUGGAAGAAUAGAAAGAAGUGUAGAUGAUUCUCAUCUUAAUGCUAUUGAAGAUGCAUCUUUUUUAUAUGAACUUGAAAUUCGAUUUUCUAAAGACCACAAAUAUCCCUACCAAGCUCCCCUCGUGGCAUUUUAUUCCACCAAUGAGAACCUACCUCUGGCUUGUCGUUUACAUAUUUCUGAGUUUCUUUAUGACAAGGCCUUGACAUUUGCAGAAACUUCGGAACCUGUCGUAUAUUCUUUGAUAACCCUUUUAGAGGAAGAGUCGGAAAUAGUCAAGUUACUAACGAAUACCCACCACAAGUAUAGUGACCCUCCUGUGAACUUUCUGCCAGUACCCUCUAGGACCAGAAUAAAUAAUCCUGCCUGUCAUAAACCACUGAUUCCAAAUAAUUCUUUUGUUUCUAAUCAAAUUCCAGAAGUUGAAAAGGCAUCAGAAUCUGAGGAGUCAGAUGAGGAUGACGGUCCUGCACCUGUUAUAGUAGAGAAUGAAAGCUAUGUGAACCUUAAGAAAAAGAUUUCCAAAAGAUAUGACUGGCAGGCAAAGUCAGUACAUGCUGAAAAUGGUAAAAUCUGCAAGCAGUUCCGAAUGAAACAGGCUUCCAGACAGUUCCAGUCCAUUCUGCAAGAGAGGCAAUCACUCCCUGCUUGGGAAGAAAGAGAAACCAUUCUUAACUUAUUGCGUAAGCACCAGGUGGUUGUCAUAAGUGGUAUGACUGGAUGUGGGAAAACCACACAAAUUCCACAGUUUAUUCUGGAUGAUUCUCUGAAUGGACCACCUGAGAAGGUAGCCAACAUCAUCUGUACCCAACCCCGACGAAUCUCUGCAAUCUCUGUUGCUGAACGCGUUGCUAAAGAAAGAGCAGAGAGGGUGGGUCUGACCGUGGGAUACCAGAUUCGGUUAGAAAGUGUCAAGGUUUGUAUGCUCUGCUUAUUUCCUGGUAACAGAAAUUUAUGGUUUUUAGGUAUAAAAAGUUUUGGGGGUUAGGAGAUUCAUGGGCAAUUUGGGAUAUAUACUUUCAGGUUAUUUUUAAAUUAAUGAUUACCUUCAGUAAUCAUUUAUUUAAAUAUUUAGAAAUAUUUAGAAAUAUUUUGGUAUAAGAAGUCAAAUGGCCAGGCGCGGUGGCUCACACCUGUAAUCCCAGCACUUUGGGAGGCCAAGGCAGGUGGAUCACCCGAGGUCGGGAGUUCGAGACCAGCCUGACCAACAUGGAGAAACCCCAUCUCUACUAAAAAUACAAAAAUUAGCCGAGUGUGGUGGCACACGCCUGUAAUCCCAGCUACUUGGGAGUCUGAGGCAGGAGAAUCCCUUGAACCUGGGAGACGGAAGUUGCAAUGAGCCGAGAUUGCGCCAUUGCACUCCAGCCUGGGCAAAAAGAGCAAAAUUCCGUCUCAAAAAAAAAAACAAAAAAACUCUUAUUUGGUUGUACUAAAUUUCCUCUGUAAAGCUUUUUAUUUUUUAUUGGCGGAAGUCAUCUAGUAAAGACUAUUUUGCUCUUGAACUUGGGACAUAAUCCAUUUAACCAAAUAAGGAGCAGACAGAUUGAGAACUGUUUUCAUUAUUCACUGUUUUUUAAUGCUUUUUAUGAAAAUCUUAGCAUUGUGAUAUGAAGUAGAAAGGCUUUUAUUACUGUCCCUGGCAAGAAACUAUGUUUAGUAUGGUUUCCUAUUAAAUGGAACUGCUGGUGUUGUCAAUAUUUUUUAUCACUAUCCAUUCAAAAUGGCUUUCCAGUAAUGUUUCCUUUUUUUGAAAAUUUUAUUAAUGAUUUAUAUUGCCCUUUCAUGUGUAAGUCCUCAGCCACCAGACUGUUAUACUGCACCACGGGAGUGCUGCUGAGAAGGCUAGAAGGAGAUACAGCUCUACAAGGAGUUUCCCAUAUCAUUGUUGAUGAAGUUCAUGAGAGGACAGAAGAAAGUGACUUCUUGCUGCUAGUUUUGAAGGACAUUGUAUCGCAGAGGCCAGGUCUUCAAGUUAUUUUAAUGAGUGCAACUCUAAACGCUGAGCUUUUUUCAGACUAUUUUAAUUCCUGCCCCGUUAUUACUAUACCAGGUCGUACAUUUCCUGUUGAUCAAUUUUUUUUGGAAGAUGCAAUUGCUGUGACAAGGUAUGUAUUACAGGAUGGGAGCCCAUAUAUGCGGUCCAUGAAACAGAUUUCAAAGGAAAAGCUUAAAGCAAGGCGAAACAGAACUGCAUUUGAAGAAGUGGAAGAAGACCUGAGGCUCUCCCUUCACCUCCAGGAUCAGGAUUCUGUCAAAGAUGCAGUGCCAGAUCAACAGUUAGAUUUUAAGCAGCUCCUGGCCCGCUAUAAAGGGGUUAGCAAGUCAGUCAUCAAAACAAUGUCCAUCAUGGAUUUUGAAAAGGUGAAUCUUGAAUUAAUAGAGGCCUUAUUAGAGUGGAUUGUGGAUGGAAAGCACUCCUACCCUCCAGGUGCUAUACUUGUAUUUUUACCAGGACUAGCAGAAAUCAAAAUGCUUUACGAACAGCUGCAGUCUAAUUCUCUUUUCAACAACAGACGUAGUAAUCGAUGUGUUAUUCACCCACUUCAUUCAUCUUUAUCCAGUGAAGAGCAGCAGGCUGUGUUUGUAAAACCUCCUGCAGGAGUAACUAAGAUUAUAAUUUCCACCAACAUUGCUGAGACAUCCAUAACCAUCGAUGAUGUUGUCUAUGUUAUCGAUUCUGGGAAAAUGAAAGAAAAGAGAUAUGAUGCCAGCAAAGGGAUGGAAAGUCUAGAGGACACCUUUGUAUCUCAAGCUAAUGCUCUACAAAGGAAAGGCCGAGCAGGCCGUGUUGCAUCUGGGGUCUGCUUCCAUUUAUUCACUAGCCAUCACUACAAUCACCAGCUUUUAAAACAACAGCUACCAGAAAUACAAAGAGUGCCAUUGGAACAGCUGUGUCUAAGAAUUAAAAUUUUAGAGAUGUUUAGUGCUCAUAAUCUCCAGUCUGUGUUCUCUCGGCUCAUUGAACCUCCACACACCGAUUCUCUUCGUGCCUCAAAAAUACGAUUACGAGACUUAGGAGCAUUAACUCCAGAUGAAAGAUUGACCCCUCUUGGGUAUCAUUUGGCCUCUCUGCCCGUGGAUGUGAGAAUUGGCAAACUAAUGUUGUUUGGGUCUAUCUUCCGCUGUUUGGAUCCUGCUCUCACCAUUGCUGCCAGUUUGGCUUUUAAGUCUCCGUUUGUAUCUCCCUGGGAUAAAAAAGAAGAAGCUAACCAGAAAAAGCUGGAAUUUGCAUUCGCAAACAGUGAUUAUCUGGCCCUUCUACGAGCGUAUAAGGGAUGGCAGCUAAGUACAAAAGAAGGCGUGCGUGCAAGUUAUAAUUACUGCAGACAAAACUUCUUGUCUGGAAGAGUUCUGCAGGUGAGAAAUGGCCAGCCUCAAACGACAAUUCACGGAACUGUUAUCGGAUAUAGGGUUUGCAAGGGAAGGGCUCAGAGCAAGGGAAAUUGAGAAAAGGGCCCAAGGAGGAGAUGGUGUCUUAGAUGCCACAGGAGAAGAGGCAAAUUCAAAUGCUGAGAACCCCAAGCUGAUAUCAGCAAUGCUGUGUGCUGCUUUGUAUCCAAAUGUAGUGCAGGUGAAAAGCCCAGAAGGAAAAUUUCAGAAGACCAGUACUGGAGCUGUCAGAAUGCAACCAAAAUCAGCUGAGUUGAAGUUUGUCACCAAGAACGAUGGAUAUGUACACAUUCACCCUUCAUCAGUGAACUAUCAGGUGAGACACUUUGACAGCCCCUACCUGUUGUACCACGAGAAGAUAAAAACUAGUCGAGUAUUCAUCCGAGACUGCAGCAUGGUGUCUGUGUACCCGCUGGUCUUGUUUGGAGGAGGCCAAGUGAAUGUGCAGCUUCAAAGAGGAGAGUUCGUUGUCUCCCUGGAUGAUGGUUGGAUCCGUUUUGUAGCUGCUUCCCAUCAGGUGGCUGAACUGGUAAAGGAGCUUCGUUGCGAACUUGAUCAGCUUCUCCAGGAUAAAAUUAAAAACCCAAGCAUUGAUCUGUGUACGUGUCCUCGAGGAUCCCGGAUCAUCAGCACAAUUGUGAAACUUGUCACCACACAAUAAAAAGCAGUCUUAGAGAGUGCUUGCUACUCACCUGCUUCUAGCUCACCUGGGAAAUAACAGCAGAACCUCUACCUCGAACUAAAGACCUGUUGGGGCUGGCCCUGGUGGAGGAGCCCAGGGCAUGCAGCCCAAGGCAGCUGAGGCAGUGUAUAUACCCUUAGGGCCAUUUCUAACAAAGCCUUGGCCACUCCCAGCACAAUUUGGAGUGUCAAGGGUGAGAGCCUAAAACCCAGCUUGCCUGUCUUUGUCUCUGUGAUUGUUCUGGAGUGAAUUAAGUUCACCUGAUAACUCAAAAGUGAAUGUAUAAUACAAUUCUGUUUUAAUCUGUGUA